rnacentral:lncRNA from 1 species
AGAAAAAAAAUUUAGAUAGUCUAUCAUAAUUGGGUAUUUAGCGUACCCAAUUCAUCAAGAGAAGAAGCCCAUUCUUAUGCCUAAUUCUAUGCAAAGAAAUACGAAAUUUUGCCUCGGCUUAUAUGAUUGGAGGUGAUAGCCAGUGUGUGUGUAUGUGCGAGUGUGCGUAUGUGUGACUGUGAGUGUGAGUGUGAAUGUCAGUGUGAGUGUGAAUGUGAGUAUGUGGGUGUGUAAUACAUAAAUCAGUGUACAUAUAAUAUAGAAACUCAUAAUAAAAUGAAGCUUGCAAGAUCAAGAUCUCAAAUACGAAUAACAUAAAGAGACUUGCCUCGAUGAUAAGCUGCUUUCAUUCUUGUUGAUUUACAAGCAAACUUGAUGAAGAUGAAACUCAUCAACAAUAAGAAAAACUAGUAUAAAUAAGAAAAAAAAAUUAGAUGGUCUAUCAUAAUUGGGUAUUUAGCGUACCCAAUUCAUCAAGAGAAGAAGCCCAUUCUUAUGCUUAAUUCUAUGCAAAGAAAUAUGAAAAUUUGCC